CCUACGGGAGGCUGCAGUCGAGAAUCAUUCACAAUGGGGGAAACCCUGAUGGUGCGACGCCGCGUGGGGGAAUGAAGGUCUUCGGAUUGUAAACCCCUGUCAUGUGGGAGCAAAUUAAAAAGAUAGUACCACAAGAGGAAGAGACGGCUAACUCUGUGCCAGCAGCCGCGGUAAUACAGAGGUCUCAAGCGUUGUUCGGAAUCACUGGGCGUAAGGGGUGCGUAGGCUGUUUCGUAAGUCGUGUGUGAAAGGCGCGGGCUCAACCCGCGGACGGCACAUGAUACUGGGAGACUAGAGUAAUGGAGGGGGAACCGGAAUUCUCGGUGUAGCAGUGAAAUGCGUAGAUAGCGAGAGGAACACUCGUGGCGAAGGCGGGUUCCUGGACAUUAACUGACGCUGAGGCACGAAGGCCAGGGGAGCGAAAGGGAUUAGAUACCCGUGUAGUC
rnacentral:rRNA from 1 species